rnacentral:rRNA from 1 species
GGGUGAGUAACGCGUGGAUAAUCUGCCUUAGAGUGGGGGAUAACGAAUCGAAAGAUUCGCUAAUACCGCAUAAGACCACAAGAACUGCGGUUCAAGAGGUCAAAGGUUUUUCGCUCUAAGAUGAGUCCGCGUAAGAUUAGCUAGUUGGUGAGGUAAUGGCUCACCAAGGCAACGAUCUUUAACUGGUCUGAGAGGAUGAUCAGUCACACUGGAACUGAGACACGGUCCAGACUCCUACGGGAGGCAGCAGUAGGGAAUAUUGCACAAUGGAGGAAACUCUGAUGCAGCGACGCCGCGUGAGUGAUGAAGGCCUUCGGGUCGUAAAGCUCUGUCGCAGGGGAAUAACACAAUGAAUGUACCCUGUAAGAAAGGAUCGGCUAACUUCGUGCCAGCAGCCGCGGUAAGACGAGGGAUCCUAGCGUUGUUCGGAAUCAUUGGGCGUAAAGCGGGUGCAGGUGGCUAUGUAAGUCAGGUGUGAAAGCCUGGGGCUCAACCCCAGAAGUGCAUUUGAUACUGCGUAGCUUGAGUGCUAGAGAGGAUAGUAGAAUUCUUGGUGUAGUGGUAAAAUACGUAGAUAUCAAGAGGAAUACCGGUGGCGAAGGCGGCUAUCUGGCUAGACACUGACACUCAGACCCGAAAGUGCGGGGAUCAAACAGGAUUAGAUACCCUGGUAGUCC